AUUGAACGCUGGCGGCAUGCCUUACACAUGCAAGUCGAACGGCAGCACGGGAGCUUGCUCCUGGUGGCGAGUGGCGAACGGGUGAGUAAAGCAUCGGAACGUAUCCGGAAGUGGGGGAUAACGUAGCGAAAGUUACGCUAAUACCGCAUAUUCUGUGAGCAGGAAAGAGGGGGAUCGCAAGACCUCUCGCUUUCGGAGCGGCCGAUGUCGGAUUAGCUAGUUGGUGGGGUAAAGGCUCACCAAGGCAACGAUCCGUAGCGGGUCUGAGAGGAUGAUCCGCCACACUGGAACUGAGACACGGUCCAGACUCCUACGGGAGGCAGCAGUGGGGAAUUUUGGGACAAUGGGCGCAAGCCUGAUCCAGCCAUGCGCGUGAGUGAAGAAGGCCUCGGUUGUAAG
rnacentral:rRNA from 1 species